rnacentral:rRNA from 1 species
AUUUCGGAUAGGGGGCGCCGGUCCGCUUCGGUGUGCACUGGCGGCCCAUAUCUUCUUGUCGGGGAUGCGUGCUGGUCUUCAUUGAUCGGCCGCAGAGUCGGGGCUGUUACUUUGAAAAAAUUAGAGUGUUCAAAGCAGGGUUUCGCUUGAAUACAUUAGCAUGGAAUAACAUGAUAGGACUUCGAUCCCAUUGUGUUGGUCUUCGGGACUGAAGUAAUGAUUAAGAGGGACAGUUGGGGGGAUUCGUAUUACAUUGGAAGAGGUGAAAUUCUUGGAUUUAUGUAAGACGAACUUCUGCGAAAGCAUUUGGCAAGGAUGUUUUCAUUAAUCAAGAACGAAAGUUGGGGGGUCGAAGAUGAUUAGAUACAUCGUAGUCUCAACAUAAACGAUGGCCACUAGGGAUUAGCGGAUGUUACUUGAUGACUUCGCUAGCACCUUGUGAGAAAUCAAGUUUUUGGGUUCCGGGGGGAGUAUGGUCGCAAGGGUGAAACUUAAAGGAAUUGACGGAAGGGGACCACCAUGGGCGUGGAGCCUGGCGGCUUAAUUUGACUCAACACGGGGAAACUUACCAGGUCCGGACACAGCGAUGAUUGACAGAUUGAGAGCUCUUUCUUGAUUCUGUGGGUGGUGGUGCAUGGCCGUUCUUAGUUGGUGGAUUGAUUUGUCUGGUUAAUUCCGUUAACGAACGAGACCUCAGCCUGGCUAAAUAGUUCCGCGAACCUUGGUUCGUGGUGGACUUCUUAGAGGGACUAUGGAUGUUUAAUCC